GUCUAGGUAGUGCGAUCGGUAAGCACAACAGACCGGACAUCUGCAGAUGCGGUUUCAAGUCCCGCUCAAGGUU
rnacentral:tRNA from 1 species